rnacentral:tRNA from 1 species
GACUGCCUUAGCUCAGUAGGUAGAGCUUUGAGGAACAAAUUCGGAGAUUGUGGGUUCAAAUCCCGCAUCAGUCG